UACGUAGGGGGCGAGCGUUGUCCGGAUUUAUUGGGCGUAAAGCGCUCGCAGGUGGUCCGAUGCGUCGUGCGUGAAAGACCCCGGCUCAACUGGGGGGCGUCGUGCGAUACGGUCGGACUGGAGGCCAGUAGGGGGAUGCGGAAUUCCGGGUGUAGUGGUGGAAUGCGCAGAUAUCGGGAAGAACACCCGUGGCUAAGGCGGCUCUCUAGUACGGUACUGACGCUGAGACGCGAAAGCGUGGGGAGCGAACAGG
rnacentral:rRNA from 1 species